rnacentral:rRNA from 1 species
UACGGGGGGAGCAAGCGUUGUUCGGAUUUACUGGGCGUAAAGGGCGCGUAGGCGGUCAGCACAAGUCACUUGUGAAAUCUCUGAGCUUAACUCAGAACGGUCAAGUGAUACUGCUUUGCUAGAGUGCAGAAGGGGCAAUCGGAAUUCUUGGUGUAGCGGUGAAAUGCGUAGAUAUCAAGAGGAACACCGGAGGUGAAGACGGGUUGCUGGGCUGACACUGACGCUGAGGCGCGAAAGCUAGGGUAGCAAACGGG